UAAAGAAUACACAAACACCCUGCUGUGGAUGAUUCUCACACCAGAAGUGCUACAAUCAUCUUCCCUCACUGGAAAGAAAAGCAACGCUUUUAAAGAUGUGAGAGCCAAAAAGAAGCUGCCUGGUGUAGUUCAUAAUUGAUUAUAUCAAAGAACAGACCCGUUCUCCUGAUGUUCAACCAGUCAAAACGGCCAUCACUCACCUCUUGAACACCGAAGACAAACGCUUGCUGAAGAAGUGUGAUACCGCUGAUUAAAGGCUUGCCCUGAAGUUAAUGUUCAAUAUUUCAUCCAAGAAAAUUGUCACUUUUUGUGUAUUGCUUGUGUAUUUGUGAAAUAAAUUUUAUAUUUAAAUGUU